GCCUCAAGGCUGGGGAUAACAUUUGGAAACAGAUGCUAAUACCGAAUAAAACUUAGUGUCGCAUGACACAAAGUUAAAAGGCGCUUCGGCGUCACCUAGAGAUGGAUCCGCGGUGCAUUAGUUAGUUGGUGGGGUAAAGGCCUACCAAGACAAUGAUGCAUAGCCGAGUUGAGAGACUGAUCGGCCACAUUGGGACUGAGACACGGCCCAAACUCCUACGGGAGGCUGCAGUAGGGAAUCUUCCACAAUGGGCGAAAGCCUGAUGGAGCAACGCCGCGUGUGUGAUGAAGGCUUUCGGGUCGUAAAGCACUGUUGUAUGGGAAGAACAGCUAGAAUAGGAAAUGAUUUUAGUUUGACGGUACCAUACCAGAAAGGGACGGCUAAAUACGUGCCAGCAGCCGCGGUAAUACGUAUGUCCCGAGCGUUAUCCGGAUUUAUUGGGCGUAAAGCGAGCGCAGACGGUUUAUUAAGUCUGAUGUGAAAGCCCGGAGCUCAACUCCGGAAUGGCAUUGGAAACUGGUUAACUUGAGUGCAGUAGAGGUAAGUGGAACUCCAUGUGUAGCGGUGGAAUGCGUAGAUAUAUGGAAGAACACCAGUGGCGAAGGCGGCUUACUGGACUGCAACUGACGUUGAGGCUCGAAAGUGUGGGUAGCAAACAGGAUUAGAUACCCUGGUAGUCCACACCGUAAACGAUGAACACUAGGUGUUAGGAGGUUUCCGCCUCUUAGUGCCGAAGCUAACGCAUUAAGUGUUCCGCCUGGGGAGUACGACCGCAAGGUUGAAACUCAAAGGAAUUGACGGGGACCCGCACAAGCGGUGGAGCAUGUGGUUUAAUUCGAAGCAACGCGAAGAACCUUACCAGGUCUUGACAUCCUUUGAAGCUUUUAGAGAUAGAAGUGUUCUCUUCGGAGACAAAGUGACAGGUGGUGCAUGGUCGUCGUCAGCUCGUGUCGUGAGAUGUUGGGUUAAGUCCCGCAACGAGCGCAACCCUUAUUGUUAGUUGCCAGCAUUCAGAUGGGCACUCUAGCGAGACUGCCGGUGACAAACCGGAGGAAGGCGGGGACGACGUCAGAUCAUCAUGCCCCUUAUGACCUGGGCUACACACGUGCUACAAUGGCGUAUACAACGAGUUGCCAACCCGCGAGGGUGAGCUAAUCUCUUAAAGUACGUCUCAGUUCGGAUUGUAGUCUGCAACUCGACUACAUGAAGUCGGAAUCGCUAGUAA
rnacentral:rRNA from 1 species